rnacentral:RNase_P_RNA from 3 species
GACCGCGGACGGGGGACCGCUCUUCCCGCAAGGGAAGGGAGGAACUUCCGAACUUCACAGGGCAGGGUGCCGGUUCAAACUCCGCAGCAUAAUAUGUGCGGGGCAUAGGCCGGGAGGCGGGGGCCACAUCCCCCGCCGACGGACAGCGCCACAGAGAACAUACCGCCCGCAAGGGUAAGGGUGAAAAGGUGCGGUAAGAGCGCACCGCCCGCCGGGCGACCGGCGGGGCAGGGCAAGCCCCUCCUGAAGCAAGGCCAAACAUGCGCUACGGAUAGCCCGUCCGCCCUUCGGGGCAGCGCAGAGUGGGCCGCAAUAGAUAAAUGGUCCUCCAGGCGCCGCAAGGCGCCGGACAGAAUUCGGGGUACAGUCCGCGGUCUAAA